AGCGAACGCUGGCGGCAGGCUUAACACAUGCAAGCCGAGCGGGCACCUUUCGGGGUGUCAGCGGCGGACGGGUGAGUAACGCGUGGGAACGUGCCCUCUGGUUCGGAAUAACUCAGGGAAACUUGAGCUAAUACCGGAUACGCCCUUUUGGGGAAAGGCUUGCUGCCGGAGGAUCGGCCCGCGUCUGAUUAGCUAGUUGGUGAGGUAACGGCUCACCAAGGCGACGAUCAGUAGCUGGUCUGAGAGGAUGAUCAGCCACACUGGGACUGAGACACGGCCCAGACUCCUACGGGAGGCAGCAGUGGGGAAUAUUGGACAAUGGGCGCAAGCCUGAUCCAGCCAUGCCGCGUGAGUGAUGAAGGCCUUAGGGUUGUAAAGCUCUUUUAUCCGGGACGAUAAUGACGGUACCGGAGGAAUAAGCCCCGGCUAACUUCGUG
rnacentral:rRNA from 1 species